rnacentral:lncRNA from 1 species
AGCACUCUAUGAUAGAUAUGGUCCUUCUGAACUUUUAUGGAAGAAGAAGGAUUUGCUAUUUCAAAAUAAACAUAUUUUCUCAUGAAUUACAUCACGCCCCUUUGGUUUUACAAGAAUCUCUUUUUGACAUUGAAAAGAAAACAAAAGAGGGUGAAAACGUUAAGAGAAAAUGUUAAAAGAAAACAAGCUUUCGUUGAUCAACUGUAAGUUUCUUCUUCAAGUCCAUUGAAACAGAACUCAAGUAUGUAUGACUUGGAUUGUUUUGAUGCAGAGGAUUUGAAUCCAUAUCAGAAACUGUAGAACCUGAAACUUCUAAAUGUAUAAACCUGAAACCAAACUGCAGAACAGAACCAAAUUGCAGAACCUAA